GUGUCACCAUUCCCACUUGGAAAGAUACUCCCACACACACACACACGCUGCAGUCACACCGCACGCUUUACCGAUGGCGAUCCCACGCAGCAUCCAUUCCCAUCGACUCUUUGUUCCCCACGUUAAAUAAUCCAAGUUGCUAGCACUUUAGUUCUGCGUGGUGCGGGUCAUGUUCUUUAUUUCUAGGAGUGGGAGCUGAAAUGCUGAUCGAUUGAAGGGUCAAGAAAGGAACACAACAGAGAGAGAGAGAGAAAAGAGGACGUUUCCACAGAGACCGAUGCCUCCUGCACAGUGCGUGAAGCAGUCCCUCCGCAUGUAAAGCGGGAAGAACCCAAAGAGGAAGGACAAGGCGAGAGCCUGCUUUCAGGAAAGCCCCCGGACCUCCAGCGGGGUUACGGUGCUGGAAGGUCCCCGGAGGCCGACAAGGAGGCUCGCUGAGUGAGGGGAGGCGAGAGCUACCGGUUCUCGACUGGCGAGACUGGAAAGCUUCCGUUUUCAAAUGGCAAUCUCCCAAGGAUCUGAGCAAAAGACAAACAGCCCAUUGUAAGGAGGAGAGAGAGAGGGAGAGCCCAGGCAGUUUAGUGAGAGCGCCACGUUACCAUGAAACAAGAUGGGGACCAUCAAAGAUCUCGAUAGUUUGCACAUUUCGGUAUCAGACCCAAUUGAAAUGGAGAAUGAAUGUUUGCCAGAGGCCGUUGUCUGUAAUAAGCAAGAAGGGAAAGCUGGAAAAGCUCAAUUGCAUUCCAACUGCCAGGCUCGUUGUUCAAGCCCUUGUACAGACAAUAACCUGGGCAAUGAAAGUAACAGCCAUCUGGUGGAGAUGAGCAUUAAUGUACCUAAAAAUGCCAAUGCAGAGACAGGCAAGCCAUGUAAAACGCCUGAGAAUGAUUUAAGCAAGGAGCAGGUGCAGGAAGAGAGCAGCCAACCCCCCAGUAACAGCACUGACGAUGCAGUCAAAGCCAUUUGCCUCAAGACGAAAGAAAGCACGAGGUUGAAUGUUGACGGUUCAGAAGCUGAGUCAGAGACCCCGUUGACAGGCUGUGAGCCAGAGGACAGAAGAAUGGAAGCAUCCAGCUGCACUGACCCGCAGCAAUCUCUUAAUCAGAAAGAGAUGCUAAAACCAACAAACGUUGAAUCAGUCCUUCAAUCAGAUAUAAACAGGCUAGAAAAUUGUCAGCAGAGCGAGAAAUUGAGCACAGACAUUGAGACAGCUGAAGGUCUUUCACAGAUAUCUACACCUGCCGCAACUAGCCAAGAUGCUGAGGUCCAGGUAGCUAUUCAAGUGCAGAAGACAUCUGUUGCCACUAGUCCCUUGGCUCCUUUAGAUAACUAUCCAGUAUUUAAAAUCCCUAAUGUCAGAUUACGAGAUCAAAGAGAGGAGAAGCCAACAGCAUGUCCAGUGACCCAAUCAUCUCUCACUACACUGCCUAGAAAAGAUGUUGAGAUGCAGGUGGAUAUAACAGUGCAAUGUAAAUCCGUCGCCACUGGCCCGAUGACUCCGUUAGAGGAGACUCCACUUGCCACACUCCCUGAGGUUCAUGUGGAGGCCAUGGAAGAUGAGCAACCAGAGCCAGUGCGCGAUGUCCAGUGGGAUGAAAAAGGAAUGACAUGGGAAGUCUAUGGAGCAUCCAUGGAUGCAGAAGUGCUAGGACUAGCUAUCCAGAAACAUUUGGAAAAACAAAUAGAGGAGCAUGGCAAACAAAACACUGAAGUGUUUCAAAAUGAUAAACCCAUUUCGGUGAAAGAAUCUUUGAAAAAGGAAGAAAACAAGAGACGGCAAAGCAAUGUUUUUCAAGCAGUUCUGCACAACAUAAGAAGUCCACAGUGCUGUACCCGUGGGAGCACUGCAGCAGAAUGAUUUUGAUUUAUUUGGCCCAUUGAUUAAAUGAUGACGAAAUAUAAAGCUACUUCUUUUCAUUUCCCUAUCUUUUUCAUGUUUUACCUCAGCAAGCUGAUUAAUCACCAAAAUUAAUUUGUGUCACAGAGAUAAAAGAUUAUAAAUACAUAAGGAAGUGAAACAUGAAUAAGCUUAAAGCCGAUAAUUUAUUUCAUUUAUUCUAACGAUGUCUUUCUUUUAUUGUAACAUGUUUUAAAAUGGAAUUACUCAUCCAUUCACACAUUUCCUAGAAUUGCAACGGUGCAUGUGUAAUAAUAACAUGUACAUAGAUUCUUUGGUUUCACAAAAAAUGAAGAUUGCUAUUUUAUCCCCAAUACCUGAUCUUGCUAUCAGAGACCAACCACACACAAUAAGAUGACUGGCAGUAUUGAUCCCUGGCAUCUAUCAUCACUACUCUGAGAAGGUUGACAAGUAUUAAGGCGGCCUCUCCUAUUUCACUGCAGUCCACUUCACCUGUGCGGAGUCACUGGUCUGAAGUUGGUGCCUCCCUCCAGUGAUGAAGUUAUGUGUCGGGAACUCAAGAAGUGUCAUUGCAGAUGGAACCCAGCUUCAGACUGGAGGUCAGAACUAUUUGAUGUAACAAUUUGUGGCAUUGCAGUAUGUCGAACAUGUAGUUCAACUACAGGGGCAUCUCAUUCUUUAACAUCACAGAGAAGUCCUUUGCAGACCAAGUGUACCUGGAAGCAGAAUGCAGUUUCGGUAAUGGCAGAUACACUGUGGGCACAGUCUUCAUAUACCAGCUACGAGAGAGGUCUAGAGAAUAGGAUAUAUCCCUUUACCUUACUUUCAUAAAUCUCACUAAUGCAUUCAACACUGCCAGUGGAACAGAAUUUUCGAAAAAUUUCGCUGUGCACUAAACUGCUGAAUCUGAUCUGUUUUUACCGUGAGCAUAUGCACAGCGCUGUACAGUAUGAUGAUUCCACUUCAACUGAGUAACAAAUAGAGUGAAAGAGGACUCUUGUCCCAGCCACCACUCUUUUUUUACAUCUUCUUCUGCAUGCCCCCCAAUCUUUGCCCUCUGAGCUGACAUCGCGGAGUUUACUGGUCAAUUGACAAGUUCUAAAAUCCAUCACAACUGAUAACAAAAACAAGUGCACAUCAUCUCCUGGUAAGGGAACUCUUGCUUGUGAUGGUGCUGUGCCUGUUGCCUAUACUGAAAUUCAUCUACAAAAUCUCAUGGACUUUGUCUACCAGAGCUUCUCCUUGACCAUAGCAAUCAAGAAAAGUGUGGUCAUGAAACAAAUAUUACAUCUCGUAAUUAACAUCUUCUUGUAGAGGUCGACAAAUUCUUCAACUUUGGGAAAACAAUGAUAGACAACUUGUUCCUUGAUUCAGAACUUGAUGUACACAGAGGAAAAGCAGCUACUAUCUUUAAUGAAUUUAUGAAUUACAUGUGGAACAACAUCAAACUAACCCUUAGGAACAAGCUAAAGGUUUAUGAGACCUGUUUUCAGCAGCUUGUUGCAUAACUGUAAAACAAUACAGCUAUCAAGAAAAGCAGUUCAACAAAUUUCACAGUCACUGCCUGCAGUACCUUAUAUGAGUCCCCUGUCAGGACAAAAUCACAAAAGUGCCAGUCCUCUCAAAGACAGAGGUUUCUGACAAUCAUUGAACUAAGGUAGCGUUUUGGUCUCAGGCACAAUUGCAGGAUAGAAGAUGGUCAUAUUCACAUGAAAUUUGUGGAUGGUUAGGUAAUCAAAGCUAGAUAUGCUCAGCUCCAAUGCUUUACACAGCACCUUUGACAUGAAAGUGCUGGACCUUGAUUAUCACGCCUAGGAGUCACCAGCUGGUGACAAAGAAAAAUGGGCUGGCACACCCUGUCAUGAUAACCAGAGGCUACAGCAGUUUGACACGAGACACCAAUGCCAAAAAUUACAAUAAUACAAAAUGACAGUUGAUAAUUUCAGUUGUGAUACAUGUGACAGGACCAGCUUGUAAAGGAUUGACCUCUUCAGCCAUCAACAAAAAUGCAACACUUUAAGGCACGCAGUCUGAAAUGGACCAGUUUGCUGCCUAUCCAUCAUCUUUUGGAGACAGAAGUAUAUCAGAUCUGGUUUAUUCAAACAUGAACUAUUUGGAUAUAUACUGGAAUAUUCAUCAUAUUUUCCAAUUCUUACUGUCUCUUCCUCAUAAUUACUAUGAGGUGAUUAAUCCAGUUUGUUAUUCAUUCUUGCACCUAGUAAGCCUUUUCUCUGCCCCCAAUCUGUCUUUUAUUCUUUCCUUUCUGUAUAUGAUGUUUAUAAUUCAGAUGUAUUGAUUGAAUUCUAGUUUUCUAUCCCUGUUUCAUGCUUUGAAAAGAGAAAUUAAAAAAUCUUGUGUUCUCAGCUGUGUGAUAGGUAUUUUUUGAACACUUACAAUGCCUACUCAAUUUAACUCCUUUAUUCUACCUCUUAUGUGCUUAUAUGGAAAUUAUUUUUAGAUGUUAUUUAGCCUUUAGAAAUAAAUGCUACCUUACCACUCACACAUCCCUUUUAUGUGUUUUCUGAGGAAAAAUCAAAUCAUGUGACACCCAUUGAAGCCUCAGAAUUUCACAGAACACUGUCACAUGGCUGUCUUCAAGUAUAUUUUAUUAACUAUUCUACCUCUGCAAAAUUAAAUACAAAGAAUAAAGGUAAUUUUAGAUUACAAAGGGAACAGACUUCCUCAGAAUGUACGUAAUAAAAUACACAAAGAAGGUAUAAUGGAGUACCACUACUUACAAUUUAUCUAUCUAAAAAUAAGCCAAGUCUUGACACAAAACUGCGUAACUCACUCAACCUUUGAUCUUGUUUUUUUUAUGGCUCAUCUCAUUCUCUGGUUUAUUUUUAUCUAAAUACCCACUUCC